AAAAUAAAUAAAAACACAUCAUUGUAAAAUCAAUACAAUCAUCGCUCCAAGCAGAAUCUAAAAUAGGUACCUAAAAUACCUACUUAAUACUUAAAUUUCUUCUUUAACUAAUACUGUAAGUACACCAUGCAUAAAUUAUUUAUUGUACCUAAAAUCUUUGUUAAUAAAUUACCUCUGAAUUAUAUAUCUGAACUUGAACUGAUAUUAAUAUUUAAGCCUAAUACCUAGAACCCGACCCCUGUUACAAGUUGUAUUUUAAUAAACAUUUAAUAGCUUAUUAUAACAUCCAUUUAUUAAAAAUCACAUCUCAAAGUUUCAUCCAGUAUUUGUUAAAGUCUAUAUAUUAUAUAGAUCAGAAAUUACCUCAACUUUGCACAUAAUACAUUAUACAACAUAACUACACACAUAUGUUGACUAUGUUAGUUAACUAACUGUUUACCCUCCAAAGCGUUAUCAUAAUAAAUAAAUAACACUUUGUUAUGUUACAGUUACUUAAAAAUAUAUGUUUAUAAGAAUUACAAUUAAAUGUAUUUUUUUGUUUCUUAUAUUCAGCAAAAGAGGGUUUCCAAGCUCCAGAUUAAAUAGGAUAUCAAUGUAUAAAAUGGACUACUCAAUAAUGUUUUCUUCAGUUCAUACAUAUAUUUUGUCAUACCAGUUUCGGAUAGAUGAAAUUACACUUCUGAAUAAUGAUUAAUUUUAAUAAUAAUUUUAUCAUUUUUAAAAUGAAUUAUGAUUGCGAGGAAUGAAACAUUAAAUAAUUGUUAAGAUUGAUAUACCAUACUACCAUUGUCCAACUGUCAAGAAGUAGGUAGGUAGGUAGCCAAUUUUAAAAGUGCAGAUCGUUGAAGACCAAGAUGUGUAGAUGUGAAUUGGAAAGUGGCAACAUAUACCUAGUUCAGACUUCAGAAAUUUAGUUAGACAUGAGUUAUGGAAAUUGGAUUCAUUAAUUUUUGGUCAUUCAAAGUAGCUUUAGAAACCCUAAUAAAUGUAUUUUCUAUCUAAUAAUUGUAUUAAAUAUAAUUAAAUACGAUUUUA